ensembl:lncRNA
GCCCAGAUUGCGCCACUGCACUCCGGCCUGGCCGACAGACCGAGACUCCAUCUCAAAAAAUAAAAGAAGUUAGCAUGAGCUUAAUUCGGGAAGUACUAUUUAACCUAAGGAACAGAAAACAAGAAUCUCAUAUUUCAACUAGUAAAAAUAAUGAGAGUGCUCCUUUAGAUUACAGAACAGAUUUGGGGAAAGGGAAUCACUUUAGAAGCUUCUGGGGUCUUUCACUUUUAAAUGAACGUUGCCGAGUUUAGAGAUCUCUCAGUAUUCAAUCUGUUCCAUCUCUGGGGUUAGAGAGGGAGCAGGAAGCGGUGGUCUGGAAGGCUCAGAAGUGACCGGUGAGGCCCUUUCCUCCUCCUCCUUAUAUCUCUCCGUGACUACCGAGCCCGGGAAGAAGGACCGGUAGGUGCACUCCCCGAGGCCUCGACAGCAGCCAGAGAAAGGCAGCGACCGGGAAAGACAAGUCAGGCUCGCGACCACCAGAGAGAGGCCCUCACACCCAGGAGAGCGUCAGCGGGUCGGUCCGGUCCGCGCGCCUUACGGUGGUGCCCGGCCGUGCCCGGCCCCUGCCCUCCCCACUCUCCACUCCCCACCUCGCCCAGCUACGCCGACGCCCCCGUCCGCCCCUACACCAGCCCGGCCUUCACGUCCUACCUGCCGGCACGCGGACUCAGCCCGUCCCCAACUGCUCGCCGGACCCAGUAGUCUGGGGAGCCCUCCCCUUUCCGCGGCUCCCGGCCGGGGCCCUCCACCCGGCGGCGGGCAGCUCGUGACCCCGCCCCCUCGGCCUCUCCAGGCCCGCCUACUGCCGGCUCGCUCCACUCACAACAGCGUCCCUAGCGCGAUGACGUAUCGGCGCAGGCGCACUGUGUCGGCGACGCCGAGGCGCUUCUGCAUCUGUGGGCUGAGCAUUCUUGAGGUCAUCUGAACCUUCUGACUGAGAAAACAUGGUCAACGUCUUGAAAGGAGUGCUUAUAGAAUGUGAUCCUGCCAUGAAGCAGUUUCUGCUGUACUUGGAUGAGUCCAAUGCCCUGGGGAAGAAGUUUAUCAUUCAAGACAUUGAUGACACUCACGUCUUUGUAAUAGCAGAAUUGGUUAAUGUCCUCCAGGAGCGAGUGGGUGAAUUAAUGGACCAAAAUGCUUUUUCCCUUACCCAGAAAUGAAAAUACUCAAUAUGGACCAUUUAAGAAUUAUAAGCAGCAAAUAUGAAAGACUUGCCACUUGAUAGGUGACUGAUUAGACAUAGAGGGUUGUUGUAGCAGCAUGCCACGGGAAAGACCAAGGGAUCAUGAUCAUUUGUUCAGAAAAAAAAAACCCUGAACUGAUUUUGUUAUACUAUAGAAUUAAAAAAAAAAAAAGCCUUUAACAGUUGGCUGUAAUUUGUCUUUUAUUAUCCUUUAUUAAAAUACAAAUGUCAAUGCUUUUCCUGCCUUUUUAAUACAGGAGUGUGCUUUUAAAUUGUCAAUAUAACAUAGGUAUUUAUUUUGCUCAUCCCUGUGAACUGUGCAUUUUUGCUGCGUGGAUAUGGUGGUUUGGUUUCAGUUAGAAACGUCAUAGAUUUGCUGUUUGAAUAUGCCAAGGUGGGGACUUUGACAUUAUGUAUGUCUCACAAAUCCUACCUGCAUACCAGCCAGCUCUAUUGAUGAAGAUGUAAAACUAAUAUAAACUACAGUUUGCAUUUCCCUGAAAAUAGAAUAUUGUUUUUUAAGAGGGUUACAAACAACUAAAUGGGAAAGGCACAUGCUGCUUUGCAUCUUUAGUUUUUCCUGUUCAAACUUUUUUGGCCACAUUUUCCUAUCUGUAUUCUGUUUUAUUAAGAAAUCAGCUUAGGGAGGCUGAGGUGGGGGGAUUGCUUGAGCCCAGGAGUCCGAGGUUGCUACAAACACACCACUGCACUCUAGCCUAGACAACAGAGAGACCCUGCCUCAAAAAAAAAAAAAAAAAAAAAAAUUCUACUUGACCUUAUUCCCUAUGAGAAUACUUAUCAAACUUACCUAAAAAGAAAAAUAGGGGCUGGGCGCGGUGGCUCAAGCCUGUAAUCCCAGCACUUUGGGAGGCCGAGAUGGGUGGAUCACAAAGUCAGGAGAUCAAGACCAUCCUGGCUAACACGGUGAAACCCCGUCUCUAAAAAAUACAGAAAACUAGCCGGGUGAGGUGGCGGGCGCCUGUAGUCCCAGCUACUCGGGAGGCUGAGGCAGGAGAAUGGCAUAAACCUGGGAGGCGGAGCUUGCAGUGAGCUGAGAUCCAGCCACUGCACUCCAGCCUGGGCGACAGAGCGAGACUCCAUCUCAAAAAAAAAGAAAAAUAGGAACAGCCAUAUGCAAAGUCAGCCCAACAGGAAAGGACUUAUUAGAUUAAAAUAUAUUGCGGCCCGGGCUCAAUGGCUCACACCUGUAAUCCCAGCACUUUGGGAGGCUGAGGCAGGCAGAUCGCUUGAGCCCAGGAGUUGAAACCCUGUCUCUACAAAAAACUACAAAAAUUAUCUGCCUGUUGUCCCAACCACUGGGGAGACUGGUAGGAGGAUGGCUUAAGCCCAGGAGGUUGAGGCUGCAGUGAACCUUGAUCAUUGCCACUGCACUCUAGCCUGAGUGACAGAGACCCUGUCUCCAAAAAAAAAAAAGUGUAUAUGUGUGUGUGUGUAUAUAUAUAGCAAGAGAGAGUUCUGUGAUCAAUUGAAGGCAAAAACAAUAACACUGAGAGGGACUUUGCUUCCCUUCCUGAAGAUAAUGUCAUUGGGAUGAGUUCCUAAAAUGGGAAUUUUCCAAGAGAAAAGAGAUUUUUCAUGACAUGUAGAAUCUUAUCAAAUCUGUUUUACCUGCUUCCUUAUGGUAUGUUUAUUCAAAGCACUUGUGUACCAUUUUUACUCACUUACACAACAUUACUGAAUCUGGAGAUUUUCAGUUAGGUAUAUUUUACAUGGUUCCCACCCAUAUAACUCAGUCCAUACAGUUCACAGUUUUCAUUCCCUCAUAGCAAUGCAAAAAAAUUUUGAUGAGUUACUAGUACUAAAACUUGUUAAGUAAAAGAUGAUUCUUAAGAAUUUCCAGGCCGGGCGCGGUGGCUCACACCUGUAAUCCCAGCAGUUUGGGAGGCCGAGGCAGGCAGCUCACGAAGUUAAGAGAUCGAGAUCAUCCUGACUAACAAGGUGAAACCCUAUCUCUAUUAAAAGUACAAAAAAGUAGCCGGGCAUGGUGGCGGGCACCUGUAGUCCCAGCUACUCGGGAGGCUGAGGCAGGAGAAUGGUGUGAACCCAGGAGGUGGAGCUUGCAGUGAGCUGAGAUCGCACCACUGCACUCCAGCCUGGGUGACAGGGAGACUCCAUCUCAAAAAAAAAAAAAACAAGAAAAAAAAAAAUUCCAGCUAUAUUAAAAUGUUACUAAUGUAUCUUAUAUUUCAGGCAUGUCUAAAUCAACUUUUAGUAUUCCUCAGGCAUUUGUUACCAACCUUUGAUAUUAACAUGAAACUUAGAAAAUUUUUGAUAGAAUCCAGAGUUAAAAAGGUAUUAGGAUUUUUGCCACUGAAGUAAAGAAGAGAAAAAAAGAUAUUUAGGAGAAAACUAUUGAACAGUGACUGCAAAGAGUAUUAAGUGAAAUAAGUGAAGGAAAAUAUUAGCUCUUAUUUAUUGAAAGUUGUGUUGGGGCAAAUGUUAAAUAUCUUUCUUUCUGUGGACAUUAUUAAGAAAGAUAGAGUGACGUGAACGAUAGGAAGCCCACCUGUAACCACUUAGCUGACAUGUCCAACUAUGAGUGAACAGGAAAUAAGUGACAUUUACCUAGGCUGUUUGUUGGAAUCUGACUAGCACUAUUUGAUUUGGCAUACUUUAAAUGUCCAGAACAAGGAUGUUGGUGCUCGUCACCAAGAAAUUUACUACUAUUAAAAAAAAAAAAAAAAGUCCUAAAGGUAGCAUUAAAAUGUCUUAACUGGAGGCAGGAGGAUCACUAAAGCCCAGGAAUUUGAAGCUGCAGUAAGCCAAGAAGGUGCCACUGCACUGGAGCCUGGAUGAUAGAGUGAAACUUUAUCUCUUAAAAAAAAAAAAAAAAUUCUUAACCAUAAAAGAAUCAUAAGUUAUGGAAGGUAGCUGAUCAGUCACAGAACUAUGGACUAAAGUUGUGAUAUUGAGUGUUAUAUUUCUCAAUAAAGGUUUUUUCUUUUAAUACUGUAUUAGGUCA